UACGUAGGGUGCGAGCGUUGUCCGGAAUUAUUGGGGCGUAAAGGGCUCGUAGGCGGUCUGUUGCGUCGGGAGUGAAAACUCAGGGCUUAACCCUGAGCCUGCUUCCGAUACGGGCAGACUAGAGGUAUGCAGGGGAGAACGGAAUUCCUGGUGUAGCGGUGAAAUGCGCAGAUAUUAGGAGGAACACCGGUGGCGAAGGCGGUUCUCUGGGCCUUACCUGACGCUGAGGAGCGAAAGCGUGGGGAGCGAACAGG
rnacentral:rRNA from 1 species